rnacentral:rRNA from 1 species
UACGAAGGGGGCGAGCGUUGUUCGGAUUUACUGGGCGUAAAGGGCGCGCAGGCGGCUCAUUUUGUCAGGCGUGAAAGCCCCGGGCUUAACCUGGGAACUGCGUUUGAUACGGAUGGGCUAGAGUUCGGGAGAGGAGAGUGGAAUUCCCAGUGUAGAGGUGAAAGUUCGUAGAUAUUGGGAAGAACACCGGUGGCGAAGGCGGCUCUCUGGACCGAGAC